GAACUUUCCAGAGAUGGAUUGGUGCCUUCGGGAACUCAGACACAGGUGCUGCAUGGCUGUCGUCAGCUUGUGUCGUGAGAUGUUGGGUUAAGUCCCGUAACGAGCGCAACCCUUGUCCUUAGUUACCAGCACCUCGGGUGGGCACUCUAAGGAGACUGCCGGUGACAAACCGGAGGAAGGUGGGGAUGACGUCAAGUCAUCAUGGCCCUUACGGCCAGGGCUACACACGUGCUACAAUGGUCGGUACAAAGGGUUGCCAAGCCGCGAGGUGGAGCUAAUCCCAUAAAACCGAUUGUAGUCCGGAUCGCAGUCUGCAACUUGACUGCGUGAAGUCGGAAUCGCUAGUAAUCGUGAAUCAGAAUGUCACGGUGAAUACGUUCCCGGGCCUUGUACACACCGCCCAUCGCACCAUGGGAGUGGGUUGCUCCAGAAGUAGCUAGUCUAACCUUCUGGGAGGCCGGUACCAAGAGUACCAGCCC
rnacentral:rRNA from 1 species